rnacentral:rRNA from 1 species
GAUCACUCCACCCCGCGCAUUCUCCUGCUCCUAUCCCCUCCCCAAUUAUCGCCCCACCAAAUCGGAGCUCCUCCGAUCCAUCCGUCCCAGUCUGGUUGAACGCAGCCCCCUUCUCAUCUGCGGGAUCCCGGCCGCCGCCUCACCCACGACCCUCUCCUCCGCUGCCAAGUCUGCUCGAACGCCGCCGCCCUCCUCACUGGCGGGAUCGGAGCCGCCGGCCACCGCCCACCUCGCCUGAAGGAUCCGAUGCCACUGCUCUUCUACGCCGAUCCAUCACCGGCCACCGGUGGUGCAUCACCUGCUUCCCCUGACUGAAGAUUCCUUGCGGCGUUUCGAAGAAGCUGUGGGUGGAAAUUCCGGAACCGCUGCGCCGACGGUGGUGUGAUGCCGGCGAUGGGUCCGCUGGCAAUUCGAUAUGCGAGUAUGUCGCUGCCAACUCUAGAGGUGUGACCAUGAGUUUGCUACUCCUGCCACGCGAGUACAACAACUGCGAACAAGCAUGCUAGUGCGUCUUCUGGGACGAAGACAGUGCCGAGCUCUCGACAGCGCAGUCCUGCCAAGCCUUCGAGAUCUGGGUAUGGGACACCUUCGACUGCAUGCCCAUGACCACCGACGGCUACUCAGAGAAGGAGCGGGUGCAGGUGUCACUCAUCCAGCGGUUCCUCGCAGGGGGGUUUAGCCUCAGCGGCGAACACCACCACCUGACCCAGCAGUCGUUGCCGUCAUGCUGCGCGGUGGACUCGUACAUCGUUGACACCAUGAAGGAUCUCCAUCAGCUGCAACGACGACUACAUAUAGUGAAUGAUGAGGAUGUUAAAGAAUAUCGAGUCAUAGAUAUAGCAUUAGAAAGGAGAUACGAAUGGUGCAUAUACUGA